rnacentral:rRNA from 1 species
UCAAGCUAAUAAGAGCAUAAGGUGAAUGCCUUGGCAUCAAGAACCGAUGAAGGACGUAAAAAGCUGCGAUAAGCUUCGGGGAGGCGCACAUAGCCAACGAUCCGGAGAUUUCCGAAUGGGGAAACCUAGCUGAGAAAAGCUCAGUUGGCGUACAGUGAAUCAAUAGCUGUGCGUAGGGAACGCUCUGAACUGAAACAUCUAAGUAGGAGCAGGAAGAGAAAGAAACAUCGAUUUCCUAAGUAGUGGCGAACGAACGGGAAACAGGCCAAACCGAGAUACAUGUAUUUCGGGGUUGUGGACUACAUCACGUGAUGGAGGUAAGGUAGUAGAAUUGUUUUGGGAAAGCAAGCCAAAGAAAGUGAAAGCCUUGUAUACGAAACCUGAAGACCCACAGUAGUAUCCAGAGUACAUCGGGACACGUGAAACCCUGAUGGAAGCCGGAGGGACCACCCUCCAAGCCUAAAUAUUCCUUGAUGACCGAUAGCGAAGAAGUACUGUGAAGGAAAGGUGAAAAGAACCCCGGGAGGGGAGUGAAAGAGAACCUGAAACCUUAUGUUUACAAACAGUCGAAGUUUUUCGGAACGACGGCGUACUUUUUGUAGAACGGUCCGGCGAGUUGCAGUGACAUGCGAGGUUAAGGAGUACAGCUCCGGAGCCGAAGGGAAACCAAGUCUUAACUGGGCGUCUAGUAUGUUAAUGCAGACCCGAAACCGGGUGACCUAUCCAUGGGCAGGUUGAAGUUACCGUAAAAGGUAAUGGAGGACCGAACUCACAUCUGUUGAAAAAGGUGGAGAUGACCUGUGGAUAGCGGAGAAAUUCCAAUCGAACUCGGAGAUAGCUGGUUCUCCUCGAAAUAGCUUUAGGGCUAGCCUUGAGGUAAAGUCUAAUGGAGGUAAAGCACUGAUUGGACGCGGGUCCCCAAAAGGAUACCAACUUCUAUCAAACUCAGAAUGCCAUAUAGAUAUACUCAGGAGUCAGACUAUGUGAGAUAAGUUUCAUAGUCAAAAGGGAAAGAGCCCAGACCGACAGCUAAGGUCCCAAAGUGUGUGUUAAGUGGAAAAGGAUGUUAGGUUUCUAAGACAACUAGGAUGUUGGCUCAGAAGCAGCCACUCAUUUAAAGAGUGCGUAACAGCUCACUAGUCGAGAGGUCUAGCGCCGAAAAUGUCCGGGGCUAAAACACACCACCGAAGCUACGGAAUUACCUAUGGUAAUUGGUAGAGGAGCAUUCUGUAAGGACGAAGCACAAUUGAAAGAGAGUGUGGACGAAACAGAAGAGAGAAUGCCGGAAUGAGUAGCGAGAUAUAUGUGAGAAUCAUAUAGGUCGAAUGUCUAAGGUUUCCUGGGUAAAGCUGAUCUGCUCAGGGUAAGUCGGGACCUAAGGUGAGGGCGAGAGCCGUAAUCGAUGGACAACAGGUAGAAAUUCCUGUACUACGUAUAAUCAGAACUGUGGGGACGCAGGAGGAUAGGAAAACCGGAGAAUGGAAAUAUCCGGCUAAGUACAAAGGUGUGAGCAAUAGGCAAAUCCGUUGCUAUAAGCUGAAGUACGAAUGGGAGCGAAGAAAAGUAGCGAAGUUUCUGAAUCCACACUGUCAAGAAAAGCCGCUAUUGCGUUAUACGUACCCGUACCGCAAACCGACACAGGUAGACGAGGAGAAAAUCCACAGACCGACGGGAGAAGUGUUGUUAAGGAACUCGGCAAAAUGACCCCGUAACUUAGGGAUAAGGGGAGCCAACGCAAGUUGGUCACAGAAAAGAGGCUCAAGCGACUGUUUAGCAAAAACAUAGGUCUAUGCGAAACCGUAAGGUGAUGUAUAUGGGCUGACACCUGCCCGGUGCUGGAAGGUCAAAAGGAGAGGUUAGCGUAAGCGAAGCUUUGAAUUCAAGCCCCAGUAAACGGCGGCCGUAACUAUAACGGUCCUAAGGUAGCGAAAUUCCUUGUCAGGUAAGUUCUGACCCGC